CGAGCUGAGGCUGGACAUUGCUACUUCUCUCCUCAGAGAAUCUGAUGAUCUAAGCAGGCUUUGCUUUUACUGCGGGAUGGAGGAGCAGGAUGAAGAACAUUGGAUUUGCUGUGACAUUUGUCAGCAGUGGUACCACCACCAAUGUGUACAAAGGCCGCCAGUUGAUCAACCGUACUUGUGCCCUGGAUGCACAUAAUGCCCCGAAGGAACCAUCAUUAACUGUCCACUGUCAUUUCAACCAAUGCAACUAUUGUUUGGCCUGUCAUAAA